GGAAUAGCCUUCCGAAAGGUAGAUUAAUACCGCAUAAGAUUGUAGCCUCGCAUGAAGUCUCAAUUAAAGGAGCAAUCCGCUAUGAGAUGGGCCCGCGGCGCAUUAGCUAGUUGGUGAGGUAACGGCUCACCAAGGCGACGAUGCGUAGCCGACCUGAGAGGGUGAUCGGCCACAUUGGGACUGAGACACGGCCCAGACCCCUACGGGAGGCAGCAGUGGGGAAUAUUGCACAAUGGGGGAAACCCUGAUGCAGCAACGCCGCGUGAGUGAUGACGGCCUUCGGGUUGUAAAGCUCUGUCUUCAGGGACGAUAAUGACGGUACCUGAGGAGGAAGCCACGGCUAACUACGUGCCAGCAGCCGCGGUAAUACGUAGGUGGCGAGCGUUGUCCGGAUUUACUGGGCGUAAAGGGAGCGUAGGCGGACUUUUAAGUGAGAUGUGAAAUACCCGGGCUCAACUUGGGUGCUGCAUUUCAAACUGGAAGUCUAGAGUGCAGGAGAGGAGAAUGGAAUUCCUAGUGUAGCGGUGAAAUGCGUAGAGAUUAGGAAGAACACCAGUGGCGAAGGCGAUUCUCUGGACUGUAACUGACGCUGAGGCUCGAAAGCGUGGGGAGCAAACAGGAUUAGAUACCCUGGUAGUCCACGCCGUAA
rnacentral:rRNA from 1 species